UGUUUAUAGAACAAACAAACCAAGUAAAAAUUGUUAAUUAAACCGCAAAAUCGGAGAUCGGAUAAGCGGACUGGCGUAUUCAUGACAUAAGGCAAAUUUUAGUUUCAGCGAGCCAAGUCUGCUUCCUCGUACCAACGAUGUGUAUCUUACAACUUUCCUCUUAUAUAGUAUCUUACGACUUGCCUUUGAGGACAAGGAAACAUUAACUUGUUCAUAUAUUAUCAUGUUUGUUGUUGUUUAAGGGGCCGCAGUAAUUGGCUUGCGCUGUUGUGGAUUCCCUGCCAUGUGCUAAUAUAGUUUAUAUUUGUACAAGG